rnacentral:rRNA from 1 species
UACGAAGGGGGCUAGCGUUGCUCGGAAUCACUGGGCGUAAAGCGCACGUAGACGGAUUGUUAAGUCAGGGGUGAAAUCCUGGAGCUCAACUCCAGAACUGCCUUUGAUACUGAGGAUCUUGAGUUCGGGAGAGGUGAGUGGAACUGCGAGUGUAGAGGUGAAAUUCGUAGAUAUUCGCAAGAACACCAGUGGCGAAGGCGGCUCACUGGCCCGAUACUGACGCUGAGGCACGAAAGCGUGGGGAGCAAACAGG